CAGUAGCCGCGGUAAUACGAAGGGGGCUAGCGUUGCUCGGAAUCACUGGGCGUAAAGGGUGCGUAGGCGGGUCUUUAAGUCAGGGGUGAAAUCCUGGAGCUCAACUCCAGAACUGCCUUUGAUACUGAAGAUCUUGAGUUCGGGAGAGGUGAGUGGAACUGCGAGUGUAGAGGUGAAAUUCGUAGAUAUUCGGAGGAACACCAGUGGCGAAGGCGGCUCACUGGUCCAUUACUGACGCUGAGGUGCGAAAGCGUGGGGAGCAAACAGGAUUAGAUACCCCUGUAGUCCCUGUCUCUUAUAC
rnacentral:rRNA from 1 species